GACGAACGCUGGCGGCGUGCUUAACACAUGCAAGUUGAACGGAAAGGCCCUGCUUUUGUGGGGUGCUCGAGUGGCGAACGGGUGAGUAACACGUGAGUAACCUGCCCUUGACUUUGGGAUAACUUCAGGAAACUGGGGCUAAUACCGGAUAGGAGCUCCUGCUGCAUGGUGGGGGUUGGAAAGUUUCGGCGGUUGGGGAUGGACUCGCGGCUUAUCAGCUUGUUGGUGGGGUAGUGGCUUACCAAGGCUUUGACGGGUAGCCGGCCUGAGAGGGUGACCGGCCACAUUGGGACUGAGAUACGGCCCAGACUCCUACGGGAGGCAGCAGUGGGGAAUAUUGCACAAUGGGCGGAAGCCUGAUGCAGCAACGCCGCGUGCGGGAUGACGGCCUUCGGGUUGUAAACCGCUUUCGCCUGUGACGAAGCGUGAGUGACGGUAAUGGGUAAAGAAGCACGGGCUAACUACGUG
rnacentral:rRNA from 1 species